AACCAGCUCUUCAAGUGGUCGGGAUAAUUAUUGGGCUUAAAGUGUCCGUAGCUGGUAGGGUAAGUUCCUGGUAAAAUUGGGCAGCUUAACUGUCCUUGUGCUAGGGAUACUGUUCUACUAGAGGGCGGGAGAGGUCCGAGGUACUACAGGGGUAGGGGUGAAAUCUUAUAAUCCUUGUAGGACCACCAGUGGCGAAAGCGUCAGACUGGAACGCGCCUGACAGUGAGGGACGAAAGCCAGGGGAGCGAACCGGAUUAGAUACCCGGGUAGUCCUGGCCGUAAACGAUGCGCACUAGGUGAUGGUGCGGCUAUGAGCCGCAUCAGUGUCGUAGGGAAACCGUUAAGUGUGCCGCCUGGGAAGUACGGUCGCAAGGCUUAAACUUAAAGGAAUUGGACGGGGGAGCACCACAAGGGGUGAAGCCUGCGGUUC
rnacentral:rRNA from 1 species